GGGAUGGUAGUUUAACUGGAAAAACAAUUGCUGCCACUGUAGUAGUUUUGGGUUCGAGUCCCGACUGUCCCA
rnacentral:tRNA from 1 species